rnacentral:rRNA from 1 species
UACGUAGGGGGCUAGCGUUGUCCGGAUUUAUUGGGCGUAAAGAGCGUGUAGGCGGUCAGGUAGGUCUGCUGUGAAAACUCGAGGCUCAACCUCGAGACGUCGGCGGAAACCAUCUGGCUAGAGUCCGGAAGAGGAGAGUGGAAUUCCUGGUGUAGCGGUGAAAUGCGCAGAUAUCAGGAAGAACACCCGUGGCGAAGGCGGCUCUCUGGGACGGUACUGACGCUGAGACGCGAAAGCGAGGGGAGCAAAUGGG